GGAGGCAGGCAGGGCACCUAGGAGAGGGUGGAAUUCAGAAUUGUAACAGAACAAUAGUACAUUAUUACACACAGCACAGGCUGACAGGGCCACGCUCUGGGAGCCCCGCCUAAGCAUCGAGCUGCUGCUGAGCCUAGCCCAGGGGCUUACACCACUGGACAUACUCUGGAUGGAAUUGGAGAGGAACACAGACCCUCAGACAGAGGAAUGAAGAUCACAGUCUGAUCCCCCCGAGCCCCCAGGUCUCAUUAUGUAGCCUCGGCUGGCUUGGAACUCAUAGAGAUCCACUUACCUCUGCCUCCAAAGAGCUAUGAGUAAAGGCAUAUGCAGCCAUGCCCAGCUGGUGCCCAUUAUUAAAGGGGUUCAUGGAGGCCAGAAGAUGGUAUCGAAUCCCCUGGGACUGCAGUUAAAGACUGUUGUGCAGUCAAAGCCAUGCGGGUGAUGGGAAUUUGGAUCCUCUAGAAGUAUAGCCCAGACAAGCCUGCUGCACCAAAGGUUGAUGUAUGGUGUCUUCUUCAGUAAAUUCCCACUUUAUCUUGGUCUCUCACGGAA